GGCCUGAUGGUCUAGUAGUAUGAUUCCUUGUUAGGGCAUUAUGACUACCAUCGAGGAGGUCCCGGGUUCAAUUCCCGGUCAGGCCC